GGGGAAUAUUGCACAAUGGGCGCAAGCCUGAUGCAGCCAUGCCGCGUGUAUGAAGAAGGCCUUCGGGUUGUAAAGUACUUUCAGCGGGGAGGAAGGCGAUAAGGUUAAUAACCUUGUUGAUUGACGUUACCCGCAGAAGAAGCACCGGCUAACUCCGUGCCAGCAGCCGCGGUAAUACGGAGGGUGCAAGCGUUAAUCGGAAUUACUGGGCGUAAAGCGCACGCAGGCGGUCUGUCAAGUCGGAUGUGAAAUCCCCGGGCUCAACCUGGGAACUGCAUUCGAAACUGGCAGGCUGGAGUCUUGUAGAGGGGGGUAGAAUUCCAGGUGUAGCGGUGAAAUGCGUAGAGAUCUGGAGGAAUACCGGUGGCGAAGGCGGCCCCCUGGACAAAGACUGACGCUCAGGUGCGAAAGCGUGGGGAGCAAAC
rnacentral:rRNA from 1 species